rnacentral:ribozyme from 1 species
AGCCGAACGAGCCCUGUAACGUGAUGGGAUCCGAAACCUCCUGAAGAUUCCACCCAACUCCUAUUCCGUCACUUCCACGUCGUGCAAGGUGGGAACAUGUUCCUAAACCCAACCUCUCGGGCGGACAAUGGCUCAUGGCUAAAGAGGAAGGG